GGGUAGCUCAGUUGGUUAGAAGUGUGGCACUGAUAACGCCAAGGUCGCAGGUUCAAUCCCCAUGUGGGACA